CUGGAUACUGUCUGAAAAAUCCUUUUGCGCUUCCAAAGUACUGCCAGAUGAGAGAAGGGUCACGAUCAAAGUUAUCAACAAACACCUUAUUUAAGGAUUCUGACCAAUAAACUCCAUUUACAAUGGCUGGAUCUUUAUUAUACAUAUUAGUUGGUACUUGGACAUCACUCAGACUGAUAUUUACAGGCAAGUUAUUGAAGUGGUCGUUCGGCACUAGAAUGAAC
rnacentral:lncRNA from 1 species